rnacentral:rRNA from 1 species
AACGAACGCUGGCGGCGCGUUUUAAGCAUGCAAGUCGAGCGGUAAGGUCCUUCGGGACCCUAGAGCGGCGGACGGGUGAGUAACACGUGAAUAAUCUGCCUUCCAGUUUGGGAUAGCACAUGGAAACAUGUGAUAAUACCGAAUGAGAUACACUUGACGGAGGUUAAGAGUAGGAAAGCUCCUGCGGGAGCGCUGGAAGAUGAGUCCGCGGCCCAUUAGCUAGUUGGCGGGGUAAAGGCCCACCAAGGCGACGAUGGGUAGCCGGCCUGAGAGGGUGGACGGCCACAUUGGGACUGAGACACGGGCCCAGACUCCUACGGGAGGCAGCAGCUAAGAAUCUUCCACAAUGGACGAAAGUCUGAUGGGAGCGACGCCGCGUGAACGAUGAAGGCCGUAAGGUUGUAAAGUUCUUUUUGGAAGGAAGAA